UCACGCCCCGAGCCCAGCCAGUUUGGUCGGGUUCAGGCCCGCCGAGAGACCGCCGAACGGACAAAGUUUUUCCAGUACGUCCUAGGCGUCGCAAUCAAUACAAUAGAAGGGUUCCAACUAGGAACAAUAUUUAACAAUCAGAUUGCACAAGAAAGUACCAAAAACAUAAACAGCUAACUAUUACAAGCAUUCACAUACAUGCUUUUACAUCUCAAUUACAUAUUCCAUUUAACUUCUAAAUUACAAUCAAGUUAUUACAAGUUUAUUACAACUUUUACUCUUUCCUUCCCUCUACCUCUAGGCUAUGCCGACUCGGGGUAUC
rnacentral:lncRNA from 1 species